UACGUAGGGGGCAAGCGUUAUCCGGAUUUACUGGGUGUAAAGGGAGCGUAGGCGGCGAUGCAAGUCAGAAGUGAAAGCCCGGGGCUCAACUCCGGGACUGCUUUUGAAACUGUGUUGCUAGAUUGCAGGAGAGGUAAGUGGAAUUCCUAGUGUAGCGGUGAAAUGCGUAGAUAUUAGGAGGAACACCAGUGGCGAAGGCGGCUUGCUGGACUGUAAAUGACGCUGAGGCUCGAAAGCGUGGGGAGCAAACAGG
rnacentral:rRNA from 1 species